rnacentral:rRNA from 1 species
AGUGAACGCUGGCGGUAGGCCUAACACAUGCAAGUCGAACGGCAGCACAGUAAGAGCUUGCUCUUACGGGAGGCGAGUGGCGGACGGGUGAGGAAUACAUCGGAAUCUACUUUUUCGUGGGGGAUAACGUAGGGAAACUUACGCUAAUACCGCAUACGACCUACGGGUGAAAGCAGGGGAUCUUCGGACCUUGCGCGAUUGAAUGAGCCGAUGUCGGAUUAGCUAGUUGGCGGGGUAAAGGCCCACCAAGGCGACGAUCCGUAGCUGGUCUGAGAGGAUGAUCAGCCACACUGGAACUGAGACACGGUCCAGACUCCUACGGGAGGCAGCAGUGGGGAAUAUUGGACAAAGGGCGCAAGCCUGAUCCAGCCAUACCGCGUGGGUGAAGAAGGCCUUCGGGUUGUAAAGCCCUUUUGUUGGGAAAGAAAAGCAGCAGGUUAAUACCCCGCUGUUCUGACGGUACCCAAAGAAUAAGCACCGGCUAACUUCGUG